rnacentral:rRNA from 1 species
AACGAACGCUGGCGGCAGGCUUAACACAUGCAAGUCGAGCGCCCCGCAAGGGGAGCGGCAGACGGGUGAGUAACGCGUGGGAAUCUACCCAUCUCUACGGAAUAACGCAUGGAAACGUGUGCUAAUACCGUAUACGUCCUUCGGGAGAAAGAUUUACCGGAGAUGGAUGAGCGCGCGUUGGAUUAGCUAGUUGGUGGGGUAAGGGCCUACCAAGGCGACGAUCCAUAGCUGGUCUGAGAGGAUGAUCAGCCACACUGGAACUGAGACACGGCCCAGACUCCUACGGGAGGCAGCAGUGGGGAAUAUUGGACAAUGGGCGCAAGCCUGAUCCAGCCAUGCCGCGUGAGUGAUGAAGGCCCUAGGGUUGUAAAGCUCUUUCACCGGUGAAGAUAAUGACGGUAACCGGAGAAGAAGCCCCGGCUAACUUCGUGCCAGCCGCCGCAGUAAAAC